GACGAACCGUGCGAACGUUGUUCGGAAUCACUGGGUUUAAAGGGCGCGUAGGCGGGCUGUCAAGUCGGUGGUGAAAUCGUUCCGCUCAACGGGACAAUGGCCUUCGAUACUGGCGGCCUGGAGGGAGGUAGGGGCAUGCGGAACUUCCGGUGGAGCGGUGAAAUGCGUAGAUAUCGGAAGGAACACCGAUGGCGAAAGCAGCGUGCUGGACCUUUCUGACGCUGAGGUCGCGAAAGCCAGGGGAGCAAACGGG
rnacentral:rRNA from 1 species